UUAAGAUUUGACAGACUCAUUUCUGUCUUCUUCUUCUCUCAACCCUUUUAGGAUUUUCUUCUGCUAUUUUCUGCCAUAUCUAUCGAGCUUUGAGCUUUUCAUGGUAUCAAAGUGGGAAAAUCAGAGUGGGAAUAUAGUUUUUCAUUGUAUCAAAGUUGGUUUUCAGAAUAUGUUCGUGAAAUUUCGCGGUCUCAUUCAAUCUUCGCGUAUUCUCGACAACUAUUGAUAGAAUCGUCCAUAAUCUUCAAGCUACACGGUAGUUUCUACAGGAUUUUUUCUACCUAGGGUUCAUGGCUAAACAAGACCUCUCUUCUUCAGGUUUUCAGAAGAAGGACGGUAUCACUGUCACAGCUCAC
rnacentral:lncRNA from 1 species